AUUUUGCUGUUAGUGUUAAAUGUAGAUAUUUUCUGUACCUGGAGAUAAUUGAGUUUACUGCAGUGCCUUAAGCCAAUUAUCUCCAGGAUGGAGAGGAGGGAUUUCAUUGUGUAUGUGAGAGUGUUAUCAUGUUAAUUAGUGUUCCCAUUGGUUUGUGGCCCUUUUGUCACAGUUUACCACCAGGUCCAGGGGGUGUGCCUCUGACCUGAAAACUUGUAUAUAAG